CCCUUAGAUGUCCGGGGCCGCACGCGCGCUACACUGAAGGAAUCAGCGUGGCUUUCUCCCUGGUCCGAAAGGACCGGGAAACCCGUUGAAUCUCCUUCGUGAUAGGGAUUGGGGCUUGAAAUUGUUCCCCAUGAACGAGGAAUUCCCAGUAAGCGCGAGUCAUAAGCUCGCGUUGAUUACGUCCCUGCCCUUUGUACACACCGCCCGUCGCUACUACCGAUUGAACGGUUUAGUGAGGGCCUCGGAUUGGCCUCGGCCCGCUCUUCACCGGGCGGCGCCGUUGGUCGAGAAGACGCUCGAACUUGAUCGUUUAGAGGAAGUAAAAGUCGUAACA
rnacentral:rRNA from 1 species